CAAAGCCUCCCAGAGAGGGCCGAACUGGGAGGUUAUGAAG
rfam:Alkhurma virus, complete genome